ACCCUAUUGGCUUAGUGAUUUGAGGGCUGGGCUAUGAUUCUGGAGACUUGGGUUCGAAUCCCGGCUGGGACA